AUUCCGUGUUGUGGACAUUUUCUCAACAUCUCCUUGUACCUCUCCCAUGUAUCGUACAAGUACUCAAACUCUAAUUGGCAAAAAGAGGAGAUGCCAUUUCUAAGUUU